GAUGAACGCUAGCGGCAGGCUUAAUACAUGCAAGUCGAGGGGCAACAGGGGUAGCAAUACCUGCUGGCGACCGGCAAACGGGUGCGGAACACGUACAGAACCUUCCUUUAAGCGGGGGAUAGCCCAUAGAAAUGUGGAUUAAUACCCCACUAGUAAUAUUAGUUGGCAUCAAUUGAUAUUUAAAGAUUUAUCACUUAAAGAUGGCUGUGCGGCUGAUUAGGUAGUUGGUGCGGGUAACGGCCCACCAAGCCAGCGAUCAGUAACUGGUGUGAGAGCACGACCAGUCACACGGGCACUGAGACACGGGCCCGACUCCUACGGGAGGCAGCAGUAAGGAAUAUUGGUCAAUGGACGCAAGUCUGAACCAGCCAUGCCGCGUGAAGGAUGAAGGCCCUCUGGGUUGUAAACUUCUUUUAUCUGGGAA
rnacentral:rRNA from 1 species